rnacentral:rRNA from 1 species
UAGUCCUACGGGGGGCAGCAGUGGGGGAUAUUGCACAAUGGGGGAAACCCUGAUGCAGCGACGCCGCGUGGGUGAAGAAGCGCCUCGGCGCGUAAAGCCCUGUCAGCAGGGAAGAAAAUGACGGUACCUGACUAAGAAGCCCCGGCUAAAUACGUGCCAGCAGCCGCGGUAAUACGUAUGGGGCAAGCGUUAUCCGGAUUUACUGGGUGUAAAGGGAGCGUAGGCGGCCUGGCAAGCCUGAUGUGAAAUACCGGGGCCCAACCCCGGGGCUGCAUUGGGAACUGCCAGGCUGGAGUGCCGGAGAG